AACCAGUUCAAGAAAGACAAACUUUUUGUGACCUUGAAGAUGCAGGUCAUGCAGAGCUUUGCUGAAUGAAAACACGUCAGUACGACAGGAGCAUGUUGUUGAAAUGAUUUCAAUAUAUAUAUGAUUGACAUUUAUCCAUAGGACAUGCAGUUAGCCUAGACAAAUAUGAAGAGAAAGGUCUCUGAUUCAAUUCUCUGUGAAGUUCAAGGACUUUCUUAGUCAAAUAUGGGAAGAUGUGAAAGGAUACAUAGAAAUCUUGGAGGACAAAUUGACGAGAGUCUUAAAAGACACAGAUAUGAAGAUAAACAAGAGGAAAAUAAUGCCAAACAUAGUUUAUUUUGUAGUUU